UACGGAGGGUGCAAGCAUUAAUCGGAUUUAUUGGGCGUAAAGGGCGCGUAGGCGGGCGUGCAAGUCAGAUGUGAAAUCCCGAAGCUCAACUUCGGAACAGCAUUUGAAACUGCAUGUCUAGAGGGUAGGCGGAGAAAAUAGAAUUCCACAAGUAGCGGUGAAAUGCGUAGAUAUGUGGAAGAAUACCGGUGGCGAAGGCGAUUUUCUAGCUUAUACCUGACGCUGAGGCGCGAAAGCAAGGGGAUCAAACAGG
rnacentral:rRNA from 1 species